UGGCUGAGUGGUAAAGCGCUAGGCUUCCGAACCGGGGUCUCGGGUUCGAAUCCUGG
rnacentral:tRNA from 1 species